rnacentral:rRNA from 1 species
UACGUAGGUCCCGAGCGUUGUCCGGAUUUAUUGGGCGUAAAGCGAGCGCAGGUGGUUUAUUAAGUCUGGUGUAAAAGGCAGUGGCUCAACCAUUGUAUGCAUUGGAAACUGGUAGACUUGAGUGCGGGAGAGGAGAGUGGAAUUCCAUGUGUAGCGGUGAAAUGCGUGGAUAUAUGGAGGAACACCGGUGGCGAAAGCGGCUCUCUGGCCUGUAACUGACACUGAGGCUCGAAAGCGUGGGGAGCAAACAGG